AAACGAUAGCUAAUACCGCAUAAGAGUAGAUGUUGCAUGACAUCUGCUUAAAAGGUGCAAUUGCACCACUACCAGAUGGACCUGCGUUGUAUUAGCUAGUUGGUGGGGUAACGGCUCACAAAGGCGACGAUACAUAGCCGACCUGAGAGGGUGAUCGGCCACACUGGGACUGAGACACGGCCCAG
rnacentral:rRNA from 1 species